UCUAAUGCAGGAAAGUGCACCUGUGCACAGCAAAGAGCAACACUUGGCUGCUGCAGGGUGCUGCCCUGCCUCAAGACAUUCCCAUCUGGGAAUACAUGCAGAGCUGGGGGGAAUGUUACGGAUUGCUGAGCAUUAAAUCACUGCAUUCCCAAGACACUGAGUGAUCUGAAUGUGCAUAGCGGGGGGCUUUCCAAGGUGUGUGGUGUUGAUGGAUGGGGUAACCAGCACUGACAACAAACUCGGGCUCUUUAUAAAGGAAACUUGAGAAUUCUUGUAAUUGUCACAGAAACAUUUUGUAACUGUGGAGAGAGCAAUUUCUGUCUCUUCCCACAAAUAGGCUAUUUCAGAAUUCAGUCCUGAUUUCCCCUGAAAUUAAACAAAGGGACCAGAACAAGCUUUUGUCUGAUGCCACCAAGACCAUAUGUCCUGGUAUUGAUUCAGACACUCUUUCUUAUGGCUUCUGCUUUUCUCUAGCUUGUGAGCUUGUGAUUUAGAUUAUACCUGAGGUUUUAAGCUUUUAUAAUUUUGGAUUUUUUCUUGGUCACAGAAGAGUUUAGGUUGGAAAAGACACUUAAGGUCAUUAAGUCCAACUGUAAACCUACACUGCCAAGUCCACCACUAAACCAUGUCCCCAGGUGCCCCAUGUGCAGGUCUUUUGAGUACCUCUGGGGAUGGUGGCUCAACCACUUCCCUGGAGAGCCUUUUCCAGUGCUUACAACCCUCUUGGUGAUGAAAUUUUUCCUGACAUCCAGUCUAACCCUCCUGUGGCACAAUACUAUUUGUUGCAGCAUUCCACCAUUUGGGAGUGAUUUGAAAUCAGGUAGAAAAAUGCUUAACCAGGUACAGGUAAAUACCCUAAACAAACCAAUGAAUGCUUAGAGUCUCCCCCUUGUUCUGCCUCUGCCAGGUGUGCAUUUGUGGCUGCUACUUGAGCAGUGAGGCCACUGGAACAGUGAAUAUGCCAGAUUCAUUUGUGUGCACAAUGUACCAGUGGAAAACCAGCAGUGAAGCUCUACUGUCUCUUCCUCCCGAUAGAAAUGCCUCCCUCCUUCCCUGUAAACACAGAUUUUAUGGAGCAGUAGCCUGGGCUCAGCAGCCUGUGUCCCAGCCUGUUAGAGGCAUCGGUCUGCUCAGUCUUCCUGGAAAAGAGGCCACUUGCACCGAGAAAGGACUUGCACCACAAUGUACAUAAUUAUCAACACUAAAGCAGUUCUGCCAUUCCAGUGGGAGCGCACAGAUCUCAAGAAACAGCAGAAGCCCAAGCUAACUAGGUGUAGUUUGCUGCAUGCUGCUAAUUAUUACCUGUGGUUAAUAUAAAAUUCUCUCCUUAAAACUGUACAUAUUUGAGCAAUGAACUUGUCAUAAUAAUUGUAGAAAACAGUUUACAGUAUAGCUGUGUGAGAUGAGCACCAGAAAAAAUGUGUUUUGUGUACUAAAGUAUUCCCUUAUAUCCAGUAAGCCCCAUUUUUACCAUAACUGACUGUAUUAAAAAUGGAUAUGUAGCCCACUAGCUAAUGCAUGGCUAAACCAAAAGUAUUUAAAAGCUUUUUUAGUUUAAAAAAAUUAUCUUUGCAUUUUAAAAUCAAAGUAAACUCUUCUUUUUUUUUUUUUUUUUUUUAAUGUCUUAGUACCUUAGCAUUGUUCAAGUUGCCAAGCUUAGGUAGACAAAGUGCUUUUGAAACACUAUUUAAAAAAAAAUAUCUUUCUCUCUAUUUUAUUGUCCUUUUCUAGGACUUGACUGGAUGAGCAAAAUCCAGAGGUCUUUGUACUUCCCAUAUGUUAAAAAGUAAGCUUAUUUUAACACCAGGUAACUUCAAUACAUACAUGAAUGAAAACGUCCUCCCCGUUGCCGAAGAACAUUUGACUACAUCAUUGACAUUUUGUUAUAAAGGCAUUAACUGUUUAACUGAUAAAAUAAAGACACCAUUCUCUUAGAUAGCACCAUGGUUUUAGGAUAUUCAAACAAA